rnacentral:misc_RNA from 1 species
GAUGAAGAACGCAGCGAAAUGCGAUACGUAAUGUGAAUUGCAAAUUCAGUGAAUCAUCGAGUCUUUGAACGCACAUUGCGCCCCCUGGUAUUCCGGGGGGCAUGCCUGUCCGAGCGUCAUUGCUGCCCUCAAGCACGGCUUGUGUGUUGGGCCCCGUCCUCCGAUUCCGGGGGACGGGCCCGAAAGGCAGCGGCGGCACCGCGUCCGGUCCUCGAGCGUAUGGGGCUUUGUCACCCGCUCUGUAGGCCCGGCCGGCGCUUGCCGAUCAACCCAAAUUUUUAUCCAGGUUGACCUCGGAUCAGGUAGGGAUACCCGCUGAACUUAAGCAUACAAUAAGCGGAGGA